CAACUGGAGAUUUUAUUAGAUUCUGACUUAUUUAUUCACUGUGUUACUCCACCUGUGUAUACAUAUAGGUGUGCCCCAGCCUGCAUGAAGACUUCAGAGGACAACUUGUGGGCGUCAGUUUUCCUUUCACCAGAGACAGUGAGUAACGUCUGAUCCUACUUGUCAAAACUGUCGCUUGUCCUGAUGAAGACGUCCAGUUUCUGCUUCGCAUACUCAGUCACAUCUGAAUGAAGCUCCACCCCA